GGAUCAUGGCUUAAUGGUAGAGCAUCUGCUUGGCAUGCAGAAGGUCCCAGGUUCAAUCUCUGGCAUCUCCA
rnacentral:tRNA from 1 species